AGAGUUUGAUCAUGGCUCAGGACGAACGCUGGCGGCAUGCCUAAUACAUGCAAGUCGAGCGGACCUGAAGAGAAGCUUGCUUCUCUGAUGGUUAGCGGCGGACGGGUGAGUAACACGUAGGCAACCUGCCCUCAAGUUUGGGACAACUACCGGAAACGGUAGCUAAUACCGAAUAAUUGUUUUCUUCGCCUGAAGAAAACUGGAAAGACGGAGCAAUCUGUCACUUGGGGAUGGGCCUGCGGCGCAUUAGCUAGUUGGUGAGGUAACGGCUCACCAAGGCGACGAUGCGUAGCCGACCUGAGAGGGUGAUCGGCCACACUGGGACUGAGACACGGCCCAGACUCCUACGGGAGGCAGCAGUAGGGAAUCUUCCGCAAUGGGCGAAAGCCUGACGGAGCAAUGCCGCGUGAGUGAUGAAGGUUUUCGGAUCAUAAAGCUCUGUUGCCAGGGAAGAACGCUUGGGAGAGUAACUGCUCUCAAGGUGACGGUACCUGAGAAGAAAGCCCGGCUAACUACGUGCCAGCAGCCGCGGUA
rnacentral:rRNA from 1 species